GUUUUGCUUCUCUGCCAAAAAUUUAACAAAAUGAUGUUUAAGGUGAUCAGUUUGGUUUUCUUGCUACAGUUAGUCCAUGGUAACAUAGUUCCUGGACUUGAUUUAAAGUCAUCUUAUCAGAGGACAAAUGGAGACGGCAAUAGUCCAACAACAAAGAUGGAUACCACUGGAAAAAAUGUUCCAAAAAAUAGAGCCAUACACCCUUUAAUACCACUGUCCGAUAGUGAAGAUGAGGACAGUGCCCAACCCAUGACUGAUGAUGAAAAACGUCAACUUAGUUUAAACAUUAACAAAUUGUCAGACAAUAAGCUUGGGGAGGUUUUUCAUUUAAUUCAGUCAAGAGAACCGUCCCUGCGAGAUUCCGAUCUACAGGAGAUAGGAAUAGAUUUUCAAACAUUAAAGCUAUCCACACUUAGAGAACUGGAAUCUCAUGUGAUGUCCUGUUUAAAAAAGAAUCAAAAGAAACCACAUGAAGAAAGUAAAACAGUUGAUGUAGUUGGUGGUCCAAGGCGACUAGCAAGCAGUACCAGUUCUUCUGAUAGUGAGAGUAGUAGUGGUAGCAGCACGUCAAGUUAUUAUUAUUAUUAUUUCAGCAUAUUUAUAGUGUGCCUUUUCAUAUAAUCUGUUCAGGGGCACUUUACAAAGUCUUACCGUGAAUAAAUGGAGUUCUCAUUUCCAAUAUUUAAGAUACAGUGAGAAUUUUAAAACUGGCACACGAAUUGCCAUAGGCUGCAGAAAGAAAAAAGCUCUCAGAAAUGAAACAUAAAACGAUUUUACAAGGAAUCUCUAGCCAGGUCGACGUCAUUUAAUGGGUUUACCUCCCUUGGACUAUGUCAAAACUUCAAUUUUUACAUGGGAGACAACUCUUUUUAGCAUCUUAUUUUUACAUGGAGGCAGACCACCAUUAAUACAAAUUGUAGUGCAAGCUACGAUGUAGAGGCAUUGAAUUUCUAUUUUGUGUCUGGUUAGGUGUUUGGGCCAUGAAAUAAAAUGAGUAAAAAGACUUUGUUUUUUUUCAGCACCAAUAGAGGGGGAGAGAGAUUAACGAUCACUCUCGACACAAACUAGGUCAUUUCGAGACUAACAUGGUUCAAUUUUAUUUCAAUAAUUUGCUUGUGCGCAGGGGUCUUUAGGCAGUGGGAGGAAACCGAAGGACCCAGAGAAAACCCAUGAGGUCAGACUACCCAAAUUUCCUUUCUCAGUCAACAUCAUGAUUGCACCUGAGACCCCCCCGGUUAGUAAUCCAGCUGAACCAGUUCCUCACUCGGCAAACAUCGACACACUCCAGUACUCUACAUCUCGCCUUGGUUAGUGACCCAGCUGAACCACUGCCUCCCUCAGGAGACCUCAGCACCCUACUUAUUAUGAGAAGUUGCCACUUUCCGAGAGAAAUUCUCAAAAUUGCGUCUUUUGAACAUUGUGUAGAAUUUUCAUUUGCUAAGUAAAGGACAAUAUUGGUGUCAGUCAUUAUUACAUAUGUGAUAGAACUGGUUAAAUACAUUCCAAACAUAAUUUUAACACAGAGAUCAUUGCUACGGGAGACGGGUAACAAGCACGUGAAGAAACGGGAAGUGACGCCAAACAUGACAAACACGAGUUGUCCUUCUAUAUAACAGACUGAAGUAACCAGCGGUAACAGACAAACGAUUGAAUUGACAUCUUUGUAUGAUAAAACACUCUUCAAAGGCUUCUUCAUGGGCGACACCAUUUGUAAUCCGGGAAU